ACUGCUCUCUUGCUCCCGUGAAGGCAUUUGAGUUUCGAGCGGGGAAAAGAAGGAGGGGCAGGUGGAGUUUGGAAGGGGCAGAUGGAGGCGGAGCUUUGCCUCCUCUCCUCCCUGCCGAGUCUUCUGCAUUAUUCAUAUGCCCGGGCCAGUGCCGCGAUCUGACUGGCUGCCUGGCUUAGCAUUCAUCCGACAUUCAGCAGCUCUGUUUGCUAACAUUCCUCAUUCAAAGCCUUGUUAACUGCCAGACGGGAGGAACACGCGACUCCAUGGGAAACCCACAUGGCCUCCCCAUUGUGGCGGGCCCUGACAGUCUCAGACUAGGAGGUGGCAGACAGGGGAGAGCGAGAGGAGCUGGUUUGUAAAUAUCAGAAAGCAGUUAGCUGAGGUUGGGGAGGUUACCCGAGGCUUAGAGACGGGUUUGAGGGUAAGGUGGCCAGAUUGCCAGGGUAAAUCCCAGACAGACAGGCGGACAGACGCGUAGAAAAGGCGUUGAGGCAGACAGGGAGGCUGGUACUUUCUGGGACUCUGAAUGGGUCUCUCGUUGGCGUGCCCGCCUACUCCUUGCAGGGAGUGCAGAGCUGUGUGACUGAAUCCGAGCUCCUUCUCUGCCCUUCUCUACAGAGAGGAUAUGUGGACAUACUGUGCAGCGACCGACGGGGGCCCGGCACAAUGAACGGCGGAGAUUUCUGCGCUUUAUCCCGGAUAGGCGAUCGCUGUGCCGCGGGCCCAGUUUGCUUCAAAGUCUCAGUGGACUCAUUAUUUGGGGAUUUUUCAUCCUGAUCAGACAUUCGCAUCAAGCAUCAAGAGCCGGAAACCUGAGAGGAGGUGAACUGAUGGAGCGAUGCUGCAGAGGAGACGCGACCUGUCGAGCUCAAGUGACAUCCAGGAAGUAUUUCGACAACACACUCUUUGAUUUGUCCUAAUUAAGGCAUGAAGAAAUUGCGAUAUCCUGCAGCACGGGUCGCUCUCAUUUACUCACAUCAAAUUAGAUGUCUUGUAAAUGUAGAAAGUCAUAAAAUACUCAAAAUUUAAGAUAAGACUUAUUCAAAUAGAAUGAGAAUAACCCAAUAGCAGUAAAUAUAAAGUGUAUAAGGAGUUUAGGUUAACCACGCUGCCUUAACAGCAGUAAAAAUAAGCACACUGUAAUAAAACCACAAUAGAAAAGUAAAAAACAACACUGGGAAGACGUAAACUAAUAUUGUGCACGAUAAUGAAAUACUGCACAUGAAAGGAAGUCAUAAAAAUCAGUUCCUAAAUCCAGUGAGAUCAACUAACCAAAACUUUCAUUUAGAAAAUUAUUUUGGAAAUAUAGUAUCCAGUGAUUUAAUAACGUUUAAAAAUGGCCAUAAAAUGAUGAUGGAAGUGAGGGUUUUGCAUGAAAACGGCAAUUUGAUUCAUCGAUAUGUCACAUCCUGUUGAGUUGAUGUGGCCACAGUGUGACCGUGAUUUUAAUUUAGCGCUCCAAUCAUUACAGUAAAAGCCCCCGAGGCUCGAUAGCGGAGCAGUUGGUGGGCAAACCACACAGUCGAGUUCCUGGUUCGACCGUUUGCUGCAUGUUUCCCCUCCGACUCCACCGCUACUGUACAGAAACGACAGAAAAAGGCCCCAAAAGCUCAUUUUAAAAACAGCCCUCGAGGCUCGUGUCUACCUACAGCGCAGUAGUAACUGUAUGAAAGUUCAGUCUUGAGCUUCAGUCAUCAUUUUAAAGAUCCGCUUACUUUGCUGACGUUUUAACUGCAUCUCACGCUUCUGUUCAGCAGAUACAUAUUCC